GCGUUCCCGUAGCUCAGGAGGUAGAGCAUCGCCUGCGUGGCGAAGGUCGCCGGUUCGAGGCCGGCCGGGCGCG
rnacentral:tRNA from 1 species